UAUAUAAUUUUUAUAACGAAUCGGUAGGGAAUACCUGUGGUCCAUCUAAACAGGGGGCAAAUAAGCUACGCUUUUAUGGUACUUUUAAGGAUGUUUAUACGCCGGAAUUUUACGUAACUCAUCCCAUGCCCCGCCCAUACAGAAGUGCAUAUGCUAAGUUCAGAU